UGGGAAUUGCAUGUGCAAAGACUGUAUUUGCGAAGAGAACAUGAUUCUUUACAGGAUCUGCCCAGGACUCCAAAUCCCAGUCGUCUGUCUUCAGUCAUGGAGGCUUGCAGGAAAAAAAUCCACUCACCAACCUUGAAUUGAAUUUCAAAGAGAGAGAGAGUUAGCAAGAGGUGGAGCAGAGGGAGAGGAAGAGAGGGAAUCUCAAGCAGACUCCGUGCUGACUGCGGAGCCU
rnacentral:lncRNA from 1 species